rnacentral:rRNA from 1 species
GCUGGCGGCGUGCCUAAUACAUGCAAGUAGAACGCACAGGAUGCACCGUAGUUUACUACACCGUAUUCUGUGAGUUGCGAACGGGUGAGUAACGCGUAGGUAACCUGCCUGGUAGCGGGGGAUAACUAUUGGAAACGAUAGCUAAUACCGCAUAAGAACAUUUACUGCAUGGUAGAUGUUUAAAAGGUGCAAAUGCAUCACUACCAGAUGGACCUGCGUUGUAUUAGCUAGUUGGUGAGGUAACGGCUCACCAAGGCAACGAUACAUAGCCGACCUGAGAGGGUGAUCGGCCACACUGGGACUGAGACACGGCCCAGACUCCUACGGGAGGCAGCAGUAGGGAAUCUUCGGCAAUGGGGGGAACCCUGACCGAGCAACGCCGCGUGAGUGAAGAAGGUUUUCGGAUCGUAAAGCUCUGUUGUUAAGGAAGAACGUGUGUGAGAGUGGAAAGUUUCACACAGUGACGGUACUUAACCAGAAAGGGACGGCUAAC